rnacentral:rRNA from 1 species
ACUGAACGCUGGCGGCAUGCUUUACACAUGCAAGUCGAACGGUAACAGGCCGCAAGGUGCUGACGAGUGGCGAACGGGUGAGUAAUGCAUCGGAACGUGCCCAGUCGUGGGGGAUAACGCAGCGAAAGCUGCGCUAAUACCGCAUACGAUCUAUGGAUGAAAGCGGGGGACCGAACGGCCUCGCCCGAUUGGAGCGGCCGAUGUCAGAUUAGGUAGUUGGUGGGGUAAAGGCCCACCAAGCCAACGAUCUGUAGCUGGUCCGAGAGGACGACCAGCCACACUGGGACUGAGACACGGCCCAGACUCCUACGGGAGGCAGCAGUGGGGAAUUUUGGACAAUGGGCGCAAGCCUGAUCCAGCAAUGCCGCGUGCAGGAAGAAGGCCUUCGGGUUGUAAACUGCUUUUGUACGGAACGAAACGGUCCGGGUUAAUACCCUGGGCUAAUGACGGUACCGUAAGAAUAAGCACCGGCUAACUACGUGCCAGCAGCCGCCGUAAUAC